CUGCAGGAAACACAUUUCCUGCAGAUUUUGCCAAGGGUUUAGGUUCCACAGGAAAGAUAUAUCCGUAGAAAAUAUGAAAUUAUCUGCAGGAAAUGUGAAAUUAUCCGCA
rnacentral:pre_miRNA from 1 species